UACGGAGGGUGCAAGCGUUAAUCGGAAUUACUGGGCGUAAAGCGUGCGCAGGCGGUUUGUUAAGUCCGCUGUGAAAUCCCCGAGCUCAACUUGGGAAUUGCAGUGGAUACUGGCAGGCUGGAGUACGGUAGAGGAAGGUGGAAUUCCCGGUGUAGCGGCGAAAUGCGCAGAUAUCGGGAAGAACACCCGUGGCGAAGGCGGCUCUCUGGGACGGUACUGACGCUGAGACGCGAAAGCGUGGGGAGCGAACAGG
rnacentral:rRNA from 1 species